rnacentral:rRNA from 1 species
UACGGGGGGUGCAAGCGUUGUCCGGAUUUACUGGGCGUAAAGGGCGCGUAGGCGGUUGUAUCAGUCGGGCUUAUAAGUGCGGGGCUCAACCCGUGAUGGGUUCCGGGACGGUAUGACUGGGGCGCGGUCGAGGGAGACGGAAUGCCGGGUGUAGUGGUGAAAUGCGUAGGAGAUCCGGCGGAACACGGUGGUGGAAGGCGGUCUCCUAGGCCGAGGCCGACGCUGAGGCGCGAGAGCGUGGGGAGCGAACGGG